GUGGCCCCAGGAUGGGCGAGGAUACCCGCUGAGUUUAAGCAUAUCAAUAAGCGGAGG
rnacentral:rRNA from 1 species